rnacentral:rRNA from 1 species
GACGAACGCUGGCGGCGUGCUUAACACAUGCAAGUCGAGCGGUAAGGCCCUUUCGGGGGUACACGAGCGGCGAACGGGUGAGUAACACGUGGGUGACCUGCCCUCAGCUCUGGGAUAAGCCUGGGAAACUGGGUCUAAUACUGGAUAUGACUCCACGGUGCAUGUCGUGGGUGGAAAGCCUUGUGCGGCUGAGGAUGGGGCCCNCGGCCUAUCAGCUUGUUGGUGGGGUGANGGCCUACCAAGGCGACGACGGGUAGCCGGCCUGAGAGGCGACCGGCCACACUGGGACUGAGACACGGCCCAGACUCCUACGGGAGGCAGCAGUGGGGAAUCUUGCGCAAUGGGCGAAAGCCUGACGCAGCGACGCCGCGUGAGGGAU